rnacentral:rRNA from 1 species
UGCAAGUCGAGCGGUACACAGAGGAGCUUGCUCCUUGGGUGACGAGCGGCCCAUUUGUGAGUAAUGCCUGGGGAUCUGCCCGAUAGAGGGGGAUAACUACGGGAAACUGUAGCUAAUACCGCAUAACGUCUACGGACCAAAGUGGGGGCUCUUCGGACCUCAUGCUAUCGGAUGAACCCAGGUGGGAUUAGCUAGUUGGUGAGGUAAUGGCUCACCAAGGCGACGAUCUCUAACUGGUUUGAGAGAAUGACCAGUCACACUGGAACUGAGACACGGUCCAGACUCCUACGGGAGGCAGCAGUGGGGAAUAUUGCACAAUGGGCGCAAGCCUGAUGCAGCCAUGCCGCGUGUGUGAAGAAGGCCUUCGGGUUGUAAAGCACUUUCAGCGGGGAGGAAGGGUCACUAGUUAAUACCUAGUGACAUUGACGUUACUCGCAGAAGAAGCACCGGCUAACUCCGUGCCAGCAGCCGCGGUAAUACGGAGGGUGCAAGCGUUAAUCGGAAUUACUGGGCGUAAAGCGCACGCAGGCGGUUUGUUAAGUCAGAUGUGAAAUCCCCGAGCUCAACUUGGGAACUGCAUUUGAAACUGGCAAGCUAGAGUCUUGUAGAGGGGGGUAGAAUUCCAGGUGUAGCGGUGAAAUGCGUAGAGAUCUGGAGGAAUACCGGUGGCGAAGGCGGCCCCCUGGACAAAGACUGACGCUCAGGUGCGAAAGCGUGGGGAGCAAAACAGGAUUAGAUACCCUGGUAGUCCACGCCGUAAACGAUGUCGAUUUGGAGGUUGUGCCCUUGAGGCGUGGCUUCCGGAGCUAACGCG